rnacentral:rRNA from 1 species
AACGAACGCUGGCGGCGGGCUUAACACAUGCAAGUCGAACGGAAACUCCCGGCUUUUCUGCGGUGCUCGGGUGGCGACCGGGGGAGUAACCCGUCAGUACCCUACCCUUCACUUUGGGAUAACUUCAUGACACUGGGGCUAAUACCGGGUAGGAGCUCCUGCUGCAGGGUGGGGGUUGGAUAGUUUCGGCGGUUGGGGGUGGACUCGCGGCUCAUUAGAUUGUUGGUUGGGUGGUGGCUUACCAAGGCUUGGACGGGUAGCCGGGCUGAGCGGGUGAGCGGCCACACUGGGCCGGGGCUGCGGCCCAGACUAGUACGGGAGGCAGCAGUGGAGUAUAGUGCAUUAGGGGAGGAAGCCUGAUGCAGCAACGCCGCGUGGGGGAUGACGGCCUUCGGGUUGUAUACCGAUUUCGCCUGUGACGGAGAGUGAGUGACGGUAAUGGGUAAAGAGGCACCGGCUAACUACGUG